UAUUUUUUAUUUUUUUAGCUAAAUGCAGGAGCGCCAAAGUUUGGCGCCUGAAAUUUGGCAAGAGGAAAAUGAGAUUUAUUUCGUAUUGGGAUGCUAAAUUGAGAUAGAUACCUCAUUCUUUUACAUUAAUUCUCUCAUUUCCUCUACUCUCUCAUAAGGACGCUCCCUUCCAUGGCAUCAUCUGGUCAUGUUAGCGGCCACAUCAGAUCGUUCUUUCUUCUCGAUCUUCGCUGGUAAGUGUUCUCCCUCUUCCAUCAUUCACUCUCACUCUCGCCAUGGCUCCUUCACAAACUCGUUUGUCUAUUAACAUGGCCGAUGUUGAUUGUUGAGUAAGGACUUGAAGAUCAGCAAUUGACCAAAAUUGCAAAACUCUACAGGUAAAUGUUUCUCUCUUAUCUUUCAUCUCAAAAUAUUGGCGGAAUAUUUAUCUCCGUAUGUGGAUAAGUAAUUGUGAUGAAAAAUCAGUUGGGGAUUUUGGGAUUUGAGGAUUUUACUAAAUUAAUUUGAUGCAAUUUAUUGAUUUUCUUGAGGCCCUAGGUUUAAUUAGAGUUCUAUUAUGUUUUAUGUUUGUGAAUUAAUGAAAAAGGCUUCGUGAUUUAAAGGAGAGGAAGAGGAGACGUUGAAGAUAUGGGUUAUAAAGACUAUUACUGAGAUAAUGAAGCUCAGAAAUGUGCACUCAAGGUGCUUGUAAAAUCGUCUGAACCAAAUCUCCAGCUUUUCUACUAGAAUUUUUUGAAGUAAAAUGCCCCCAAAUCGUGCUAGGACCAAACCAGGGCAGUGUUAAGCCCUUCCCCUUCCUCCUCCUCACCAUGAUCCUACUUUUUUCAUGCCAUUGACAAUUAUUUCCAGUGGAAUGGUUUGGAUUUAAAUAUACAUGCACACAAAUCACAAAUAUACAUGAACAUAUAUAGAAGUACAAGUAAUCAUUGGUUCCUCUUUCCUUUCUUCCAUUUGACUGAGUUGUUAAAUUUUAAUUAAUUGAGUUCAAAUUAUUGUUCAUAUUUAUUGGCAUAUACUUUGUAGAUACUAAUGUCUAUAGCACUUGUCUGUAUACUUUGUUGAUCCAAUCUCUGAAUUUUCCAUAACUGAUAGCCGUAAGUACCUAUUCUAUAACUACUUCUCUCUCUCUCUCUCUCUCUCUCAAUCUCUGUCUCUCUCUAUAGUCUAUAAAUUAUAUAUUUAUAUGUCAGAAACCAAUUGAAGGAUUAUUGGGUGAAUUUGUAGAUGAAGCGUGUGAAGAGAUACUGAUUGUUCCCCUCUUUAUCCCUACUUAUUUAUUAUCAAGUUGAUACUUCCUUUUUUCUAUGCAAAACAAUUUAAUAUAAGGUAAAGAUAAAACCAAUUCCUUGUUUAUUAUCAUAGUGGGUUGACUAACUUGUUUAUAAUCAUGUGUAUGCUUGCUGAAGCAGAAGUUUGUUAUCAUGUCUAUCUAGAUUGUCACUUAAUCUCUGUAGAGGCAGCUAUUGUGAUGUAAUAGCUAGCAUGCUGGGUGGAGGAAAGAUCAUCAAACCCCGCCAAAUGGGUACCAAGAAUUCUUCUUCCAAAAGAAAAACCUUCAAGAUCCCCUCUGAGGUAUCUCUCUUUGUAUUAUCUCCUCUCUCUCUCUCUCUAUAUAUAUAUAUAUAUAUGUCAUAAUUCUUAAUUUUUUCUAGGGUUUUAUUUCCCCUUUCAUUCGCUAGUUCUAAGGUCUAAUUUAUUGAAUUUGCACUCAGAUACUGUUGCGAAUCAAGUUACCUUACCCAAUUAUUAAUUGAUACCCAAUUAUUAAUUGAUACAUGAAUCUGUUGAUGAGCAAUCAUAGGAAAACAAAAGAAAAUUUUGAAAUACAUGUUCAGUCGAACUAAGUCACAAUUAUUUAAUUUCAUAUUUUUGUUCUAUGGGUAUCCCAGAUUAUUGAAAUCUUCCUAUUCAGAAAUUUAGGGCCUGUUUGGUUUAGCUUUUUGGGAAUAGUUUUAAGAGCACUUGAAAACAGAAUAAAGUUCGAAAAUAAUAUUCAUUUUGGUUGUCGUUUAUCUCAAAAACUAUCUGUGAAACUGAGUUAAAAAAUGUACGAUAUAGACAACUUUCUUUUCUAGUUCUCUUAAAAUGGUUCGCUGUUUUUGAAGUCUUGGAAACUGUUAUCAAAGUACUAAACCAUUUUUGACAGCAUGUUAAUAUUAACUUCAAAAAUCCAUAUUAAUUUCAAAAUUCAAUCAAUUUAAGCCAAACAAAAUCAUGUAAACUCAUUAACAAUUAUACUUUCAUAUCCAAAACUUAAUUUAAAAGAUAACAGUUCUAAGUAUAGAGAUUUCAGUUCUAAAAUCAGCAUUUUUGGUUUCAUUUUCCAACAUUACUCUUCAUUUAAAUUCUAACAAUUCUUUAACUAAUUUAAUGCAAAUAUGAAACCAAAACAAGGCAAUAAAAAUUAGUAAUUGUAUUUAUUCAUUGUUUGUUUUGCAAAUUUUUGGAUGGGCUUAUGCUACAAGACUUCAAACUCUUUUUGUUUAAGAUGGUUUUAAGUAGUGCAUGUCCAGGUCUUUGAACCCUUUAUUUAGGAAUCUAUAGCUCAUUUUUGUCUAAGAUCUUGAAACAUUUUAUUUAAGAUACUAGCUUGUUUUGGUCCAAAUUAUUGGAGUUGAAAUUGUUUUAGAUGCGAAGACUCAUUUUUUAAAUGCUUUAUUAUGUAUAUUAUUAACAAUACAUUUUUUUGUUGGGUAACUUACGCAAUAUCACGUAUUUAUUUGUUUGCCUAAUCGUGUUGAUGUGAUAAUUUUUUUUAUUUUUUAUUUUUAUAUAUAUUAUUUCUUAUGUUUAUAAUGUUAAUAAUUUAUAGAUUUGCUACAAAUUCUUAUCGUGCCACAAUAAAUAUGUGGCAUAUUUUUGGUGUUUACCACAAUAUAUAUUUUUGGUUAUUAAAUUAAAUUUUAUUUUAUUAAUAAUAGAAUAGCCAAGGAUAAACUCCGUGGCCUUUUUGGAUAUUUGUUACGACGUAUAUUUGUGGGCAAUUAGAUUUAUAGCCACGAAUGAACUCCGUGGCCUUUUUGAUAUUUGCUACGACGUAUAUUCGUGGGCAAUUAGAUUUAUAGCCACGAAUGAACUUCGUGGAAAAAGGGUUAAAUUAGCUACGAUAUAUAUUUUCGUUGCAAAAGUAUUGAAUUAGCCACGAUUAAUUCUUAUAUCGAGAUUGCUAAUUGCCACGAAAGUAUUGUUAUUUAGUUACGAAAUAGCUUGUGGCGAUAGGAGGUAUUUUAUCACGAGUUCAAAUUUUGUGACAAAAGUUCCACAUUUUGCCACAAAAAUUUUUAGUUGUGGUUAUUUGCAAUCUGUGACGGGGCUACGCCCACGAUUGAGCCACGAGCUAUUUCUUGUGGUUAAAAGGCUUUCGCCCCGAAAUUUGAAGGUUUUUGCCACGAAGUGUCUUGUGGCAAUAACCCUAAUUUAUUCUAGUGAUGGGAGUUUCUUCUUAAUGAAGUACCAUAUGAGGCAUGAUUUCAGCCAUAUAACCUUCAGGAGGGUAGACUCUGAUUAGAGAUCCAUGGCCCUCAGAAGGGGGAAUGAAAUCAAAUUCCAUCCUUGGGGAGUUAUCCUGUGAACCCGCAGCAAUCGAUUUAACUUUACUGCACAUAGUGCACCCAUUUUGCAUAACACAUACCCUUUUCUUUUUCUUUUAACCCAAGAGAUCAUAAGCCUCCAAUAUUGAUAAAUCAAAGUACGGGUCGCUCGAGAAGGAGUUAGUUGGGGUGGAAUUUUCUCCUGAACCACCAACCUAAUAAGGUUUCUCUUUUUCCUUACGAAGAGAAAGAGUGGUCGGAGGUUUAAAGAUCGAUUUGGGUACGAUGGUCUCUUAUAGUGGUUUCACAUAUGAGUAAUCUUAUGAUGACUUGUGUUUUUUUCUUUUUCUCUUUUUAUUUUUUCUUAGUAUAAACUGCGGGGGAACUCGAAUAUAGGCACACCCACUCAGAGAGGCAACAAAAAAUGCCGCAACAUUUGUCUUUGUGGAAUGGCAACAAAAGGAAGAGAAAAAUAAUAAAGAAGGGUAGCAAUAACCAUCGUUAAUAACAACACUCAAUAAGGAGCCAACACGAUUAUUGAAAAGUUGUUAACCCUAAUGUUCCGCUAGCUUGAUAAAAUGGAAGAAAAUUGGAUGGAAUGCAAAGAAGAAGAGAUGAAUGAGAUAUCUCUAAGGAAGAGAUUGUGUACUUCGUUUUUUUUGUUUAGUUGGAUUGAAGAGAAGAAAAUAAGAUAAUACCUUCCUUUUUUUUUCUGCAUAAGAGAAGGGAAGAGAAAAUGUUAAUUAUAAGGAAAGUUUUGUAAUUUAAAAAUAUUUAUAAUAGUCUUGUUUUUUUUUUCCUUUGUGUCUUCCAUCUAUAUUUGGAGGGAAGAAAAUUUGUAAAAGACAUAUGAAGAAUGACUCGUCUAUUA